rnacentral:misc_RNA from 1 species
UAUGGGUAUAUAAUUCUUUUCUAUUGUUUGUCCUGAUCAAUAAUUGAUUUGGGUGUGGGAAUCUAUUAUUUUGGUGUACAACAUGCUUUUCUCAUUAAUGAUGCAUUAAAGUUUGUUGUGAAUGUUACUCUUUGACCGUGGAAGUUUCACGAAGCAAUAUGGAUGACCUGCCAUCUAAAGAUUGAAUGAAAAAUUCUCUACAAGCCUAUAAAAAGCUGUUCGGUUCUUGCGGUUUCUCUCAUAUGUAAUGCUAAGUCUGGAAUAUUUAGCAGAAAAGUUGACAUGGAAAUUGAAAUCUUCUAUACCUCGGUUCAUCAUUGAGUGUAUAUGGGUUUUUCAUUUGAUUGCUGCUUUACGUUUGCUGUAUUGGAGUUAGAUUUCAGUUUAUUUGCUUGAAUAAGCUAUUGUUUUGUGAAAAAGGAUAUGUGGGUUGUAUCAUGGUAAGUUAAUCCAUGAAUACAGCUAAAGAGAAAAGGAAAAUCAGUUUUAUAAAACAAGGCAUGUUUGUGGCUUGAUCUUGGUAAGACUUGAUUGGUAAGAAGAUUUAGGAUUAGGUAGUGUUCAACGGUGAGCUAUUUGUAGUUGGUAGCAAUGUUAUUGAGGCGAAAGAUUAAGGUGAUAGGGUACCCUAUG